AACGAACGCUGGCGGCAUGCCUAACACAUGCAAGUCGAACGAGACCUUCGGGUCUAGUGGCGCACGGGUGCGUAACGCGUGGGAAUCUGCCCUUCGGUUGGGAAUAACUGAGAGAAAUUUCAGCUAAUACCUUAUAAUGUCUUCGGACCAAAGAUUUAUCGCCGAGGGAUGAGCCCGCGUAGGAUUAGGUAGUUGGUGGGGUAAUGGCCUACCAAGCCGACGAUCCUUAGCUGGUCUGAGAGGAUGAUCAGCCACACUGGGACUGAGACACGGCCCAGACUCCUACGGGAGGCAGCAGUGGGGAAUAUUGGACAAUGGGCGAAAGCCUGAUCCAGCAAUGCCGCGUGAGUGCUGAAGGCAUUAGGGUUGUAAAGCUCUUUUACCCGGGAUGAUAAUGACAGUACCGGGAGAAUAAGCCCCGGCUAACUCCGUG
rnacentral:rRNA from 1 species